rnacentral:rRNA from 1 species
CAGUGUCUGGUGGGUAGUUUGACUGGGGCGGUCUCCUCCUAAAGAGUAACGGAGGAGCACGAAGGUUGGCUAAUCCUGGUCGGACAUCAGGAGGUUAGUGCAAUGGCAUAAGCCAGCUUGACUGCGAGCGUGACGGCGCGAGCAGGUGCGAAAGCAGGUCAUAGUGAUCCGGUGGUUCUGAAUGGAAGGGCCAUCGCUCAACGGAUAAAAGGUACUCCGGGGAUAACAGGCUGAUACCGCCCAAGAGUUCAUAUCGACGGCGGUGUUUGGCACCUCGAUGUCGGCUCAUCACAUCCUGGGGCUGAAGUAGGUCCCAAGGGUAUGGCUGUUCGCCAUUUAAAGUGGUACGCGAGCUGGGUUUAGAACGUCGUGAGACAGUUCGGUCCCUAUCUGCCGUGGGCGCUGGAGAACUGAGGGGGGCUGCUCCUAGUACGAGAGGACCGGAGUGGACGCAUCACUGGUGUUCGGGUUGUCAUGCCAAUGGCACUGCCCGGUAGCUAAAUGCGGAAGAGAU